UGGGGGAUAUUGCACAAUGGGGGGGAACCCUGAUGCAGCGACGCCGCGUGGGUGAAGAAGCGCCUCGGCGCGUAAAGCCCUGUCAGCAGGGAAAGAAAAUGACGGUACCUGAAGAAGAAGCCCCGGCUAACUACGUGCC
rnacentral:rRNA from 1 species